rnacentral:sRNA from 1 species
CCUUGCCGGGGACGUUGCGGAUCGUGACUCCGGGAAUGCGUUUGACGAGCGCGACGAUCUUCGGCUCG